rnacentral:lncRNA from 1 species
UCUCAUCCAUGCUGUCAGUGCAGCUGCCUCCUAUGGGUGAGCCUCUCCACUGCCCCACCCUGCCAUAUCCUAGUCGCUAAGAAGUUCAGGAGCGGAGCCUCUGCCUGGACACAGCCUCUCGCAGGUGCUACAGCCGAAGCUCUUGUCUCUUCUUGCUUGACUGAUUACUGCUUUCCUCUUAAUUUCCAAAUCCAGAAAUUUCCACGAGUCCACCAACAAGGCCCACAGCUACAGGAAGACCCAUGGCUAUUUCAACAAGAUCCACACAUGUACCAACAUCAACCAGAGUCUCUACCUCUACUCCUCCAACAUCUGCACACACACAGACUCACAAACCAGGAAGCAAUCCCUCCACAGAAGCCACAGAAAAACCUGACUAAGGGCUUCUAUGUUGGCAUCUCCAUUGCAGCCCUGCUGAUAUUGAUGCUUCUGAGCACCAUGGUUAUCACCACUUCCCUAUCUCUAAGAUUGGAGCUUCCCCCAAAAAAGUGGUCGAACGGGCCAGAGGUGAAGACCAGGUCUACAUUAUUGAAGACACUCCUUACCCUGAAGAAGAGUCCUAGUGGCCCUCUGAGGCACCUUCCGCCUGAGAUUAAAGAGACUGUCCGUGAUAUCACAGCGUCCAGGGCAAUUUUCUGUGUUGGUUCUUCCAGCUGUAGUGGAGAGGGUAACCCUCUACUGUGUAUACUCAACUCAAGUUUAACAUCAUCCUAAUUCUUGUAUCAGCAUCGCCUCAGUGUGUCCAUUCACUGCAGCGAUUCUCUCAAAUGUGAACAUUUCAGAGGGUUGAUUUUUUUUUUUUUGAGUCAACACAAUUACUGAUAAUACAGAAAUAGUCUUGGUUAUUUAAACCAUUAAGAGAGAAAUAACAUUUAAAAGUUAAAAAAAAAAAAAGUAUGAGUGGGAGGGAAGUCCUGAAUCCAGAAGAAUUUCGUAAUCAUGUUUUAUCUAUUUUAUCAUACUUUGAAAUGUCACUUUCCCCAUCUUGCCCAAAGGGCUUCAAUAAUGAGAACAUGGAGGUUUUAAGGGAAUCUGUUGCUUUUAGAGGUGGCAAAUUUCUCAUACUUCUGGAAAUAAGAUCAUUUAUUAUGCAGUUGGUCUUAGGAUAAGGGUGGGUGUUCAUUAUUAGCAUAGGUGCUCAUGGUGACUAUGGACCAGGCACACAUCAGGGGAAGAAAAUAAUGGAUCAAGGGUUUCAGUUCAUUGGUGCUGUCUCUACUCCACUUCUGUCUUGGUGCUUACUGUUCCUAAACUUACGCACUGAGCUCUGAAUUAGGUGCUAGGAGGAGACAGUGAAGAAAUAAAAGGGGAAGGAAAGGCGAGAGAGCAGGGCACAGGCUCUCUGAUGAGAGAAACCCUAUGGCAGGUGUGACAGUAUUUGGGACUAUCUACUUUUCAUAAUGAAGCAGUUUGUCACAAUCAAUAAAAUAUUUGGAUUUGCU